ensembl:lincRNA
GCCAGCAGUGUAAAGUCACCCAGCAGAUCGACAGAUGAACAGACUGGGACACAGAAGUCAAAUAACUUGUCCCUGAUUCAAUGUCAUACCGAGUCUGCGGUGAUCAAAAUGUAUGGUGAAUGUUUCAAUGUUUAAUAAAACCAUCCUCGUAGAGGAGUUGCCACGGAUCCCCUCAGAAUACUCUCCCAAAGCUUUCAAUACAUUUAUGUCAUCAUUCUUGCUACUUUCAGAAGCAGCUUAGGAAGUAAUCUUUUGAGUAGCUUUUCAAAAACAUGGUGAAUGCCACUGUCACAUGCCACCCAAAGGCAAUGCAAGCUUGUGAAAACCUUACCAUUUGCUGUGUGCUACCUUAUUCACUGGAUCUGGCACCAUGCAACUUCUAAGUUUUCUCCAGAGGUCAAAAUGAAAGGUAAGUAUUUUGAAUUGAUACAGGACAUCAAGGCAGCCAAGACAAUGCAACUAGACAUUCAUGAAAGAUGACUUCUAGAACAGCUUCUGGAGGUGGCAAGAACAAUGGGGCCUGCCACUGCCGGACUCCUUGCAGCUGGCUCUCUACCACCUAGCAAAGGACAGGCCAAAGGCAGCUCCUCCCAGGAGACUCAUCCAUAUCCAAAGCCUGUCUGUUGCAGAGGUGCAGCAGGGAGGAAGGAAGACAUUCAGGUUGCAGCUGACACAGGACAAGUUGCCUCAAACUGAAGGGAUACCAUUGUUUCCAUGGAACCUUUAUGAAGAGGCAUCCUCAGAAGCUCCAAGGCCAAGGAAAACUGUGAAGUUAGGAGUGGAGGAGUCCUGCUGGAAGUCCCUGCUUGGAUCUCUCUCUGGAGGAAGGAAGGCAGCCAGUAAAUUGGAGAAGAAGCUGUGGCAUAGGCUUAGAGAGGACUGUCAUCUUCCACUGCAACCUUAGGUGACAGUUGUCCUCACUUGCUCUGCUUUAGAAAGGCAUUGCCUCUUCUGCUCACAGGUGGGGCUGCCAGCAAGAGCUCAGGAUGGCAAAGAGAACAAAGCUCAUCCCUAGCCUGGAAGAGUAGGGACAGGGGAGCUAAAGACAAGUCCUCCUGAGUGCCUCUGUUCUGGACAGAGAGGAGUCCAAGUUGCCAGGGAGGAUAAGGGGGAAAUCUGGGAGAGAGGAUGGGGAGAGGGCAGUCACCCUCUAGGGUCCCUCUGAGCAGAAGCUGAGGGCUUAGCCAGCAUCAAUAGUGAGAGCCAUUUCCAUGUGCCCUUGCCAAGCCCUCAAGGAAAGAACAGAGAGGGUCCUUACCCAGUGUGGGUAGAGGAGGCGGAAGGUUGAGCAGCGUUGGGCAUGCAUUUGUCUUCCCUGGCCUGGGGGUGAAGCAUGCACACUGGCUAGAUCAGUGCAUCUCACACCUUACGGCUUGUGUUGUGUAUCAGCUGGAGAUUUUAUUAAAAUUCACAUUCCAUGCCAGCGGGCCUAGAGUGCGGCUAGGGUUCUGCAUGACUAUCAAGGGUUAGGGUUAGGGUUAGGGUUGUGCUGUUGCCAGCCUCCAGAACUGCAUUUAGCCUGAUAAUGCACAAACAUAAGGAUAAUGCAAAAAUGAGGCUAUAGUCUUGCAGGAAGCUUUGCUUUCAAUUUCCAUAAUUUUCUCUAUGUCAUAUCUCUCAGCAGAGCUUAAUUCCUCAUGACCUUGGCAUGCCCUUUCUGUACUUCUGGAGAGUACAGUGAUGCCAAGUGAAGCUUGGAGAUUUGGAAGACACUAACAUUAAGUGCCCGCUUGAGUGACCCUAGGAUCUGGGCGUGAACCAAGCUCAAAAUAACCACUUGUAGGGGCAGCUCAGGAGAAAGCAGUUUCUUACUCACUUUGCUAAAACUGGUACAUCUGCAACUUAAAAGAGGAGAGAAUUAUUUUGGCUCACAUGGUAGAAAUUUCAGCCCUUGCAUGGUCAGACUCCUCCCGGCAGAAGUGACUUUGUAGAACAUUCUGGAGGAAAAAAGCUGCUCACCUCAUGGGAUCCAGGAAGCAGAGUGAGAGGAGGAGCCAGAAAGGGAGAUAAGCACUUCCAGGUCACUCCUCCAGCAACCUGUGUCUACCAACCAGACCCCACCUUCUAACAGCAAGCACCUAUAAUCCAACUACCUUCCAAAAGCCCCACCCAUGAUCCCAGGAUGCUCUGGGGGACAUGUAGACAUGAACCACAACAGGCAGUUAUGGGAAAGAAGAGUGGAAAAGAGAUGUGUCAUUAUGGUUGGAUCAGAGAGGCGCACGUGACACUGCAUUGGGGCUUCCGCUCUAUAUCAACCCCAAUCCCUAAGGCAGGCUGACCUUUGUGUUUCUUGGUCUCUAAGUGAGUGGCACUGGCUAACAUUCCUGAUCUGAGAGUCUAAGAUACAAAAUGCUCCAAAAUUCAAACAUUCUGAGCACUAGCAUGAUUCUUAAAAAGCUUUAGACUUUGGCGCUAAGAUUUAGGCUUUGGAAGCAAACUAACCUUAAGGACCUCAAAAAGACUUUGUAGCACUUCUGAUUUUUGAUUUUUGUAUUUGUAGAGAUGCUCAACAAGUAAAAUCUAAAAAAAAUUUCAAAAUCCAAAAGAACUCCAAACUCAGAAACACUUCUGGUCCCAUGCAUUUCCAAUAAUGAAUACUCAAUUUGUAUAAUAUUUGAGCAUCGAGAUUAGGGAAUGAAUAAAACAGAAACUGAGAAAGCAUCCAGCAAAUUACCUGCCCCAGAAUAAUAUCCAAUAUCCAAUAUAUUCUGAAAUUAAAAAAAGAUGAGAACAAUCUAUAAACUCAGCCUGCACAGGGUCUUGUCAGCUAGACAGAGGAGCUUGGAAGUAAGUCACAAACGAUCCCUGACUUUGCAAUAAAGCAAGCUCCCCUUAGGGAUCUCUGCUUAACUGCCUUGGAGUAAUUCUGAGUUCUCAAAUGGAACUCAAACAGAUAAAAUUAUAGCACUUAGAAUCAGCCCUGAAAGCAGACAUCUCACUAAAUCUGAUAAAUCUGAAUUUCCCGGAACAGCCUGCCAGCUCUCCAUCUUUACUGGACUCCAAGAUGAGCAGCAGGUUACAGCAGGCUGCACAUGAAUAGAGUAGUUAGAAUGCUGGGGAAACCACACAAGUUGUGCCUACAUUCUCUCUGGGCCCGGAAUCCCAUAACCUUUCAAAUCCCAAACCCUGAGGAUGCAAAGGGGAAGAAUGACCCAUUUUCAGGUCCUUGGGAAAGCCCUUAGAAAAAGCAGCCUCCAGACUGAAGACUCUCUAGGCAAGGAGUAAAGGAGUCCAGCACAAGUCCUUGGCCUAGGCGAGGAAAGGUUUCCACCCCUUACUCUCCCAUCCUCGGGCAGGUGGGUCUUCUCU